CAGUCGCCGCGGGAAUACGAAGGGGGCUAGCGUUGUUCGGAAUUACUGGGCGUAAAGCGCACGCAGGCGGCUCGAUAAAUUAGAAGUGAAAGCCUUGGGCUUAACCUGAGAAUUGCUUUUAAGACUGUCGAGCUAGAAUCCAGAGGAGGGUAGUGGAAUUCCGAGUGUAGAGGUGAAAUUCGUAGAUAUUCGGAAGAACACCAGUGGCGAGGGCGACUACCUGGUCUGGCAUUGACGCUCAUGUGCGAAAGCGUGGGGAGCAAACAGGAUUAGAUACCCGAGUAGUCCCUGUCUCUUAUAA
rnacentral:rRNA from 1 species